AACGAACGCUGGCGGCAUGCCUAACACAUGCAAGUCGAACGAGACCUUCGGGUCUAGUGGCGCACGGGUGCGUAACGCGUGGGAACCUGCCCUUAAGUUCGGAAUAACUCCCCGAAAGGGGUGCUAAUACCGGAUAAUGUCUUCGGACCAAAGAUUUAUCGCCUUUGGAUGGGCCCGCGUUGGAUUAGCUAGUUGGUAGGGUAAAAGCCUACCAAGGCGACGAUCCAUAGCUGGUCUGAGAGGAUGAUCAGCCACACUGGGACUGGGACACGGCCCAGACUCCUACGGGAGGCAGCAGUGGGGAAUAUUGGACAAUGGGCGAAAGCCUGAUCCAGCAAUGCCGCGUGAGUGAUGAAGGCCUUAGGGUUGUAAAGCUCUUUUACCCGGGAUGAUAAUGACAGUACCGGGAGAAUAAGCUCCGGCUAACUCCGUG
rnacentral:rRNA from 1 species